UACGUAGGGGGCAAGCGUUGUCCGGAUUUAUUGGGCGUAAAGAGCGUGUAGGCGGCCGUACAGGUCAGCUGUGAAAACUCGAGGCUCAACCUCGAGACGUCGGUUGAAACCAUCUGGCUAGAGUCCGGGAGAGGAGAGUGGAAUUCCUGGUGUAGCGGUGAAAUGCGCAGAUAUCAGGAAGAACACCCGUGGCGAAAGCGGCUCUCUGGAACGGUACUGACGCUGAGACGCGAAAGCGUGGGGAGCGAACAGG
rnacentral:rRNA from 1 species